rnacentral:rRNA from 1 species
AAGUCGAGCGAGAAAAGGGGGGCAACUCCCUGAGUACAGCGGCGCACGGGUGAGUAACACGUGGGUAAUCUGCCCUGAAGUGGGGAAUAACACCGGGAAACCGGUGCUAAUACCGCAUACGAUCACGGAGUCUGCGGAUUUUGUGAUGAAAGGAGCAAUUCGCUUUAGGAGGAGCCCGCGGCUGAUUAGCUAGUUGGUGAGGUAAUGGCUCACCAAGGCUACGAUCAGUAUCCGGUCUGAGAGGACGGUCGGACACACUGGAACUGAGACACGGUCCAGACUCCUACGGGAGGCAGCAGUGGGGAAUUUUUCGCAAUGGGGGCAACCCUGACGAAGCAACGCCGCGUGGGUGAUGAAGUCUCUUGGGACGUAAAACCCUUUCGACGGGGAAGAAACCGUAAGGUUGACGGUACCCGUAUAAGAAGCCCCGGCUAACUCCGUGCCAGCAGCCGCGGUAAUACGGGGGGGGCAAGCGUUGUUCGGAAU